rnacentral:rRNA from 1 species
GGGUUGUGAGGUUAAGCGACCAAGCGUACACGGUGGAUGCCCUGGCAGUCAGAGGCGAUGAAGGACGUGCUAAUCUGCGAAAAGCGCCGGUAAGGUGAUAUGAACCGUUAUAACCGGCGAUGUCCGAAUGGGGAAACCCAGUGUGACUCGUCACACUAUCAUUAACUGAAUCCAUAGGUUAAUGAGGCGAACCGGGGGAACUGAAACAUCUAAGUACCCCGAGGAAAAGAAAUCAACCGAGAUUCCCCCAGUAGCGGCGAGCGAACGGGGAGGAGCCCAGAGCCUGAAUCAGCAUAUGUGUUAGUGGAAACGUCUGGAAAGGCGCGCGAUACAGGGUGACAGCCCCGUACACAAAAGCGCAUAUGCUGUGAGCUCGAUGAGUAGGGCGGGACACGUGGUAUCCUGUCUGAAUAUGGGGGGACCAUCCUCCAAGGCUAAAUACUCCUGACUGACCGAUAGUGAACCAGUACCGUGAGGGAAAGGCGAAAAGAACCCCGGCGAGGGGAGUGAAACAGAACCUGAAACCGUGUACGUACAAGCAGUGGGAGCAUGAGUUUACUCAUGUGACUGCGUACCUUUUGUAUAAUGGGUCAGCGACUUAUAUUCUGUAGCAAGGUUAACCGUAUAGGGGAGCCGCAGGGAAACCGAGUCUUAACCGGGCGUUAAGUUGCAGGGUAUAGACCCGAAACCCGGUGAUCUAGCCAUGGGCAGGUUGAAGGUUGGGUAACACUAACUGGAGGACCGAACCGACUAAUGUUGAAAAAUUAGCGGAUGACCUGUGGCUGGGGGUGAAAGGCCAAUCAAACCGGGAGAUAGCUGGUUCUCCCCGAAAGCUAUUUAGGUAGCGCCUCGUGAAUUCAUCUCCGGGGGUAGAGCACUGUUUCGGCCAGGGGGCCAUCCCGGCUUACCAACCCGAUGCAAACUGCGAAUACCGGAGAAUGUUAUCACGGGAGACACACGGCGGGUGCUAACGUCCGUCGUGAAGAGGGAAACAACCCAGACCGCCAGCUAAGGUCCCAAAGUCAUGGUUAAGUGGGAAACGAUGUGGGAAGGCCCAGACAGCCAGGAUGUUGGCUUAGAAGCAGCCAUCAUUUAAAGAAAGCGUAAUAGCUCACUGGUCGAGUCGGCCUGCGCGGAAGAUGUAACGGGGCUAAACCAUGCACCGAAGCUGCGGCAGCGACACUGUGUGUUGUUGGGUAGGGGAGCGUUCUGUAAGCCUGCGAAGGUGGCCUGUGAGGGUUGCUGGAGGUAUCAGAAGUGCGAAUGCUGACAUAAGUAACGAUAAUGCGGGUGAAAAACCCGCACGCCGGAAGACCAAGGGUUCCUGUCCAACGUUAAUCGGGGCAGGGUGAGUCGACCCCUAAGGCGAGGCCGAAAGGCGUAGUCGAUGGGAAACGGGUUAAUAUUCCCGUACCUGGUGUUACUGCGAAGGGGGGACGGAGAAGGCUAUGUUGGCCGGGCGACGGUUGUCCCGGUUUAAGCGUGUAGGCUGGUUUUCCAGGCAAAUCCGGAAAAUCAAGGCUGAGGCGUGACGACGAGGCACUACGGUGCUGAAGCAACAAAUGCCCUGCUUCCAGGAAAAGCCUCUAAGCCUCAGGUAACAUCAGAUCGUACCCGAAACCGACACAGGUGGUCAGGUAGAGAAUACCAAGGCGCUUGAGAGAACCCGGGUGAAGGAACUAGGCAAAAUGGUGCCGUAACUUCGGGAGAAGGCACGCUGACACGUAGGUGAAGUGAUUUACUCAUGGAGCUGAAGUCAGUCGAAGAUACCAGCUGGCUGCAACUGUUUAUUAAAAACACAGCACUGUGCAAACACGAAAGUGGACGUAUACGGUGUGACGCCUGCCCGGUGCCGGAAGGUUAAUUGAUGGGGUCAGCGCAAGCGAAGCUCCUGAUCGAAGCCCCGGUAAACGGCGGCCGUAACUAUAACGGUCCUAAGGUAGCGAAAUUCCUUGUCGGGUAAGUUCCGACCUGCACGAAUGGCGUAAUGAUGGCCAGGCUGUCUCCACCCGGGACUCAGUGAAAUUGAACUCGCUGUGAAGAUGCAGUGUACCCGCGGCAAGACGGAAAGACCCCGUGAACCUUUACUAUAGCUUGACACUGAACACUGGUCCUUGAUGUGCAGGAUAGGUGGGAGGCUUUGAAGUGUGGACGCCAGUCUGCAUGGAGCCGUCCUUGAAAUACCACCCUUUAAUGGCUGGUGUUCUAACGUAGACCCGUGAACCGGGUUGCGGACAGUGUCUGGUGGGUAGUUUGACUGGGGCGGUCUCCUCCUAAAGCGUAACGGAGGAGCACGAAGGUUGGCUAAUCCUGGUCGGACAUCAGGAGGUUAGUGCAAUGGCAUAAGCCAGCUUGACUGCGAGCGUGACGGCGCGAGCAGGUGCGAAAGCAGGUCAUAGUGAUCCGGUGGUUCUGAAUGGAAGGGCCAUCGCUCAACGGAUAAAAGGUACUCCGGGGAUAACAGGCUGAUACCGCCCAAGAGUUCAUAUCGACGGCGGUGUUUGGCACCUCGAUGUCGGCUCAUCACAUCCUGGGGCUGAAGUAGGUCCCAAGGGUAUGGCUGUUCGCCAUUUAAAGUGGUACGCGAGCUGGGUUUAGAACGUCGUGAGACAGUUCGGUCCCUAUCUGCCGUGGGCGCUGGAGAACUGAGGGGGGCUGCUCCUAGUACGAGAGGACCGGAGUGGACGCAUCACUGGUGUUCGGGUUGUCAUGCCAAUGGCACUGCCCGGUAGCUAAAUGCGGAAGAGAUAAGUGCUGAAAGCAUCUAAGCACGAAACUUGCCCCGAGAUGAGUUCUCCCUGAGACUACGAGUCUCCUGAAGGAACGUUGAAGACGACGACGUUGAUAGGCCGGGUGUGUAAGCGCAGCGAUGCGUUGAGCUAACCGGUACUAAUGAACCGUGAGGCUUAACCUUACAACGCCGAAG